AGCAUAUCAAUAAGCGGAGGAAAAGAAACCAACAGGGAUUGCCUCAGUUAACGGCGAAGUGAAGCGGCAACAGCUCAAAUUUGAAAUCUGGCUCCUUCGGGGUCCGAGUUGUAAUUUGCAGAGGAUGCGUCGGGUACGGGUCCCUACCGAGUUCCCUGGAACGGGACGCCAUAGAGGGUGAGAGCCCCGUCUGGUAGGAUACCCAGCCCAUGUGACGCUCCCUCGACGAGUCGAGUAGUUUGGGAAUGCUGCUCUAACGGGAGGUAUACUCCUUCCAAAGCUAAAUACCGGCUGGAGACCGAUAGCGCACAAGUAGAGUGAUCGAAAGAUGAAAAGCACUUUGAAAAGAGAGUCAAACAGCACGUGAAAUUGUUAAAAGGGAAGCACUCGCUACCAGACUUGGGUUUGGCGGUUCAACCGGGGCCACGCCCCGGGGCAUUCCGCCAGCUCAGGCCAGCAUCAGCUUUCCGUCGGGGGCAAAGACGUCGGGAAUGUGGCUCCCCCUCGGGGGAGUGUUAUAGCCCGGCGUGUCAUACCCUUCGGGGGGCUGAGGUACGCGCUUCUGCAAGGAUGCUGGCGUAAUGGUAGCUAGUGACCCGUCUUGAAACACGGACCAAGGAGUCAACCUUAUGUGCGAGUGCCCGGGCGUAAAACCCCAGCGCGGAAUGAAAGUGAACGUAGGUGAGAGCUUCGGCGCAUCACCGACCGAUCCUGAUGUCCUCGGACGGAUUUGAGUGAGAGCAUAUAGGGUUGGACCCGAAAGAAGAUGAACUAUGCGUGUGUAGGGUGAAGCCAGAGGAAAACUCUGGUGGAGGCUCGCAGCGGUUCUGACGUGCAAAUCGAUCGUCAAAACAUGCGCAUGGGGGGCGAAAGACUAAUCGAAUCUUCUGGUAGCUGGUUUCCGCCG
rnacentral:rRNA from 1 species